rnacentral:rRNA from 1 species
GUGUCAGCAGCCGCGGUAAUACGGAGGGUGCAAGCGUUAUCCGGAAUCAUUGGGUUUAAAGGGUCCGCAGGCGGUCUUAUAAGUCAGUGGUGAAAGCCUACAGCUCAACUGUAGAACUGCCAUUGAUACUGUAGGACUUGAAUCUGGUCGAAGUGGGCGGAAUGUGUAGUGUAGCGGUGAAAUGCAUAGAUAUUACACAGAACACCGAUAGCGAAGGCAGCUCACUAGGUCAGUAUUGACGCUCAUGGACGAAAGCGUGGGGAGCAAACAGGAUUAGAAACCCUGGUAGUCC